AUAAUGACUCUCGGCAACGGAUAUCUCGGCUCUCGCAUCGAUGAAGAACGUAGCGAAAUGCGAUACUUGGUGUGAAUUGCAGAAUCCCGUGAACCAUCGAGUCUUUGAACGCAAGUUGCGCCCGAUGCCAUUAGGUUGAGGGCACGUCUGCCUGGGUGUCACAC
rnacentral:rRNA from 6 species